rnacentral:misc_RNA from 1 species
GAUGAAGAACGUAGCGAAAUGCGAUAAGUAAUGUGAAUUGCAGAAUUCAGUGAAUCAUCGAAUCUUUGAACGCACAUUGCGCCCGCCAGUAUUCUGGCGGGCAUGCCUGUUCGAGCGUCAUUUCAACCAUCAAGCCCCCCGGCUUGUGUUGGGGACCUGCGGCUGCCGCAGGCCCUGAAAAGCAGUGGCGGGCUCGCUGUCACACCGAGCGUAGUAGAUCUCAUCUCGCUCAGGGCGUCCUGCGGGUUCCGGCCGUUAAACCACCUUCAUAACCCAAGGUUGACCUCGGAUCAGGUAGGAAGACCCGCUGAACUUAAGCAUAUCAAUAAGCGGAGGA